rnacentral:sRNA from 1 species
AAAAAGCCCAGGCGCUUACUCGAGGGUUAGCUGAGUGAAUGAGCCGGCGACUGUGGAGUUAGCGUCCUGAAUGUGAACGCCCUGAUCUCCCAUUAGGAGCCGCUGGCUGCGGCAGCAGGGGACCAGCGUGAGAGUUGGCUAAAAAAAAGAAAAGAACAUGGAGGCAGAUAUAAUCACAAAUCUUCGAUGCAGGCUCAAAGAGGCUGAAGAAGAGCGACUAAAAGCUGCACAGUAUGGUUUACAACUAGUAGAGAGUCAAAAUGAAUUACAGAAUCAACUGGAUAAAUGUCGUAAUGAAAUGAUGACCAUGACUGAGAGUUAUGAACAAGAAAAAUAUACCCUUCAAAGAGAAGUUGAACUCAAGAGUCGAAUGUUAGAAAGUUUGAGCUGCGAAUGUGAAGCUAUUAAACAACAACAAAAAAUGCACCUGGAGAAAUUGGAAGAACAACUAAGCAGAAGCCAUGGACAGGAAGUGAAUGAACUAAGAGCUAAGAUAGAAAAACUGAAAGUGGAAUUAGAUGAAGCCAGGCUUAGUGAAAAGCAGCUGAAGCACCAGGUAGAUCAUCAGAAGGAACUCCUCUCUUGUAAGUCAGAGGAACUGCGCGUAAUGUCUGAACGUGUGCAGGAAAGCAUGUCUUCAGAGAUGCUGGCUCUUCAAAUUGAGCUGACAGAAAUGGAGAGUAUGAAGACCACCCUCAAAGAAGAAGUGAAUGAACUACAAUACAGACAAGAACAGCUGGAACUUCUUAUUGCUAACCUAAUGCGCCAGGUAGACCGGCUUAAAGAGGAAAAAGAGGAGCGAGAGAAAGAAGCAGUUUCUUACUAUAAUGCCCUGGAGAAAGCUCGUGUAGCAAAUCAGGAUCUUCAGGUACAGUUGGACCAGGCACUCCAGCAAGCCUUGGAUCCCAAUAGUAAAGGCAACUCUUUGUUUGCAGAGGUACUUAUAAGUAUCCUAACUACUAAAUUGGUAUUUUCAUUUACUACCAGAACAAUUAAGCAUGUUAAUAUUUUGUAGGUGGAAGAUCGAAGGGCAGCAAUGGAACGUCAGCUUAUCAGUAUGAAAGUCAAGUAUCAGUCACUAAAGAAGCAAAAUGUAUUUAACAGAGAACAGAUGCAGAGAAUGAAGGAUUUCCAGACUGUGCUGCCUCAUUUCCUGAGACUCUCCCCUGUCUGGGAAGUAUUUCUUUAUAAAUUUUCUCACGUUUACUUUAGUUUUCUUACAGAAUUUGUUGGGGUUACUUUUAAUCUACCAAUGUGGCAUGAUAUUCCAAACUAUCUUUAGAGACUAGAAGCAUUGUGAAUCUUAGGCUAAGUGGGCCUAGCCUCCAAUUUGAAACAGGAACAAAAAGGAUAUCCUUUAAAAUGUUAAAAGUCAUCUGCAACCUCAUAUCAUUGCUUGCUUUACUCAAAACUAUAUUUAAACUAAUAGGCACUCUUUUCAACUCCAGAAAUUUCCAAAGGCAGAAAGAAAUGCUAGAUUUAGAGUCUACUUAAUUUCCCUCUGGUAGCUUUGUAACUCCAGAUUUGGGGUGGGGGAGGUAUAAUUAGGUAAGUUGAGUGCUGCUCUAAAAAAAUUAAAACAUGGUAUAUUGAAGAUUACCCCAGUAUACCAAGAUAGCCUUUUAUCUUUGCUUUUCAUGUCAUUUGUGAAUCUAACAUUUGUGGCUGUCAGUAGCUUGGUUUUCCUCACUUAAUU